UCCUACUGUUCGGCGCUGAUGAUUCUGGACAUUUUUCCGUGUUGUCAAUAAUGACUUUAAUGAUCUGCAAAUUGAUUUAUAGUCGAAAAACGGAAACAUCAUUGCCUACUCAGUAAGACUACUGGGAUAUUAUGGUUCAGGUUUAUGUUUUUCAUGUUCGGUGGAUUUACUUUUGAAGGCCUAAAUAAUAUUAUUGUAGUAUCAAAAAACAUUCAGGGAGGAUAUAGUUCUGCAGCCUCGCAAGCAUCUACAGCUGCCAUCUGCCUCCGUGUUAACUGCUGGGAAUGCUGACCUCUGCCGGCACUAAGGUCGUCCAAACCUGAUCAAAUCCUGAGUGGCACACUCACGAUCCUCCAGGAUGCUAAAUCUUCAGCCCUGAGCCUCUCACCGAGAGACAGCUUUGAUGUGGCCCCGCUGGGCCGCCGCCCCCCCUGUGCCCUGAUUGGUGGAUGGCUGGCGGGGCGAUGUGGGAGUGGAUGGGGGAUGAAAGCGCACGGGGCAGCGAGGGGGCACCUGCACACAGAGCCUGGCCUGUGUGGCUCCUUCAUCUUCAACCGCUUCCCCUGACCGCCGGCUGAACUCCCGUGUCAGCGACCAUCACACGGUCGCUGUGACCUCUCCAUCUCUGCCUGCCUCGUUCUCUCUAUUCACUCGGUCUGUCUCUGUCUCUCUCUCUCUACUCACUCAAUCGCUCUGUCUGCAUCUCUUAUUCCUUCUCCGUCUUUCUCUCCAACUCUCUCUCUCUUUCCAUAUAAGUGUAUUAUGAGAGUGUAGUUGUCAGUUGACAGGUGUAGUAUGUGCUGUGUAUUCAGCUGCAAUAUACAAGGUGAAACAAUAUGUUGCAAGGAUAUUGAUGUCUGUGCCUCUGGAAUUGAACUGGUCUUUGUACAAGUGAUCCCAGCAUGUGCUCUGAACAAAAUGAAUACAUUGCCAAUAUUACAGUUAUAAAGCAUUUACUUUGUGUUGGAUCUUCAUCUAAUGUCAUGUCAUACUAAUAUUCCAGGAACACAGAAAUCAGUUUCACUGUAAGGGUGUGGUAAUGAAAAUUGUAAUGACAAUUUUAAAUAUUUGACAUAUUAAGACAAUAUCCAUUUAAUGUGAAGCAGAUGAAAAUUUGCCAACAUCUGUCAAGUUUCAGCUGUAGGGCUGAUUGAUUUGCCACUCUUGACCUCUGUGUGAAUUUGAUUAACCAUAAAAUGGUGCAUUAUGUCACCCCUAUUAGGACCAUUUAGUAUUGCCAGAAGGUCAGAGCAAAAAAUACCUCUUUUUCACUUUUAUUGAGAUGUCUCAGCAAUAAGGGCACUGUUUCAGUACAGCUGUAUGCCAAGAAGGCGCAAUCAACUACAAUGAACUCCUCUGUGCCAUCACAUUCCAGACGUUUCACUGUGUCCAAAAGAAUAUGUGAUGCGAUUUCUUACAAAUAAAACAAAGAAAAAGAAGAAGAAAAAGAAAUGUUGCCAGGUGGAUAAACUGAAAUAAAUGAUUUUAGUUUGAGUAACAUGAUUAUCAAUUCAUUUUGGUUUAUCAUGUUUACAUAAGCUUGGAUUCAGUAUUUUGGAUGUGAAUAAAAAAUGAUCACAUUUUAAGGCCAGAAGAAAAA